rnacentral:rRNA from 1 species
UACGAAGGGGGCUAGCGUUGCUCGGAAUCACUGGGCGUAAAGCGCACGUAGCGGGUUGCCAAGUCGGGGGUGAAAUCCUGGAGCUCAACUCCAGAACUGCCUUCGAUACUGGCGAUCUUGGAGUCCGGGAGAGGUGAGUGGAACUGCGAGUGUAGAGGUGAAAUUCGUAGAUAUUCGGAAGAACACCAGUGGCGAAGGCGACAUCCUGGACCGGUAUUGACGCUGAGGCGACGAAAGCCAGGGGAGGCAAACGGG